rnacentral:rRNA from 1 species
ACGGAGAGUUUGAUCCUGGCUCAGGAUGAACGCUGGCGGCGUGCUUAACACAUGCAAGUCGAACGAACUCACUUCGGUGAGUGAGUGGCGCACGGGUGAGUAACACGUAGAUAACGUGCCCGGGAGCGGGGGAUAACAGGCCGAAAGGCCUGCUAAUACCGCAUAAGACCACAGCCUCCUCGGGGGCAGUGGGAAAAGGUGGGGAUCUUCGGACCUGCCACUCCCGGAUCGGUCUGCGGCCCAUUAGUUAGUAGGUGGGGUAACGGCCCACCUAGACUGUGAUGGGUAGCUGGUCUGAGAGGACGAUCAGCCACACUGGAACUGAGACACGGUCCAGACUCCUACGGGAGGCAGCAG